UACGUAGGUGACAAGCGUUGUCCGGAUUUACUGGGCGUAAAGAGCGCGCAGGCGGUCGAUCAAGUCGAGUGUGAAAGCCCCCGGCUCAACUGGGGAGGGUCAUUCGAUACUGAUCGACUCGAAGGCAGGAGAGGGUAGUGGAAUUCCCGGUGUAGUGGUGAAAUGCGUAGAUAUCGGGAGGAACACCAGUGGCGAAGGCGAGUCUCUGGACAUUUCCUGACGCUGAGGCACGAAAGCCAGGGGAGCAAACGGG
rnacentral:rRNA from 1 species